rnacentral:rRNA from 1 species
AUGAUACAUGGGCCCCUGGGGGGAGAUGUAAGAAAAAUUACCAAUUAGACCCUUAGUCCCAGUGUUAUAUUUGGUUAUUUACUAAAAUCUCCUUUUGGUGGAGAAGGGUGGAUUGUUAGUGCAGAUGAUUUAGAAGAUAUAAUUGGUGGGCAUGUAUGGUUGGGUUUUAUUUGUGUAUUUGGCGGAAUUUGGCAUAUUUUAACCAAACCCUUCGCAUGGGCUCGUCGUGCAUUUGUAUGGUCUGGAGAAGCUUACUUGUCUUAUAGUUUAGCUGCUUUAUCUGUCUUUGGUUUUAUCGCUUGUUGUUUUGUAUGGUUCAAUAAUACAGCUUAUCCGAGUGAGUUUUAUAGCCUACUUACUACGUGUUUUCCUCUAUUGGCAAAUACGCAUAUACUGACCUACUCGCAUGCAUAUCUUGCAUAA